rnacentral:rRNA from 1 species
AGCGAACGCUGGCGGCAGGCCUAACACAUGCAAGUCGAACGAAGUCUUCGGACUUAGUGGCGGACGGGUGAGUAACACGUGGGAACGUGCCUUUAGGUUCGGAAUAACUCAGGGAAACUUGUGCUAAUACCGAAUGGGCCCUUCGGGGGAAAGAUUUAUCGCCUUUAGAGCGGCCCGCGCCUGAUUAGCUAGUUGGUGAGGUAAAGGCGCACCAAGGCGACGAUCAGUAGCUGGUCUGAGAGGAUGAUCAGCCACAUUGGGACUUGAGACACGGCCCAAACUCCUACGGGAGGCAGCAGUGGGGAAUCUUGCGCAAUGGGCGAAAGCCUGACGCAGCCAUGCCGCGUGAAUGAUGAAGGUCUUAGGAUUGUAAAAUUCUUUCACCGGGGACGAUAAUGACGGUACCCGGAGAAGAAGCCCCGGCUAACUUCGUGCCAGCCGCCGCGGUAAUAC